rnacentral:rRNA from 1 species
UACGAAGGGGGCUAGCGUUGCUCGGAAUCACUGGGCGUAAAGUGCACGUAGGCGGCUUCUUAAGUCAGGGGUGAAAUCCUGGAGCUCAACUCCAGAACUGCCUUUGAUACUGGCGAUCUUGAGUCCGGGAGAGGUGAGUGGAACUGCGAGUGUAGAGGUGAAAUUCGUAGAUAUUCGCAAGAACACCAGUGGCGAAGGCGGCUCACUGGCCCGGUACUGACGCUGAGGUGCGAAAGCGUGGGGAGCAAACAGG